UCUACAUGAUCAUACCUUUGGUAUUAUGCAAUCUUUCGGUUGUCUGAAACACAGCAAAUAACUAAAUGUGUUUUAAUGAAACAAUUCGUUAAUCAUGAUUAAUGUAAUUGAUGGAAAAAGACAUGAUAGUCGUUGUACUAUUCACUCGGAAGAAAUUUAUGGCGGAAAACAGUUCAGAAUCAGAUGUUACUGCCACGGAUAUACUGAAAAUGUUAUUUUACAUACGAGUGCUUGGUGUAUAAUCAUCCCGAUCAAUUUUAUUUUCUAUCGCCAAAAAAUUGUUUUUUGUCACUGCCAUCGACGGAAUCCGCAGGACAGGCGUUAGAUGUACAGAGAAAUAAACAUUUUGCAGAACCAGACCGAAAACAAAUAUACCUCUUGCUUUUUAAAUGCGUUUAUAUUUUAUUUGCAUUCUAAGGUUUUUAUUUUAAAACGUAUUUUAAUUAGUAAAUUAUGUUAAGCGUAUAAAUUCCAAAACUCCGGUGAAAUGAGAACUGUUUAUAUUGUCAAGGCUGAAUCAUGUAUUGUACAUAACAACGACAAUAUAACUAUAGCAGUAACGCUUUUAAUUAUGUGUAAAAGAUGCUAUUAUAUGUCCAAAGAGGCUUUAUAGUAGGUUAUAUAUGUUCUAGUAGGUGAGUAAAAGAAUGUUCUGGCAAAUACCUCUCCUUUCUAUAUUAUUUAACUAUUAUACAAGAUUUAUAUAGCGCCCUAUUUACGAUAAACACGUUCAAAGGCGCUUUACAGCAACUGCAGUCACACAGCGCGCGAAAUCAUCCUCUACUAGUACAGACACAGAGCGAUCUGACCAGAGGGACAGAGUGAGAUAAAGCCCCCAGAACAGACAGAGAGAACUUUUCAGAUACAGACGUAUAUGUGGGUUCACAGAGAUAUUCCAUGCAGUGAAAAACAAUAUUGUUUAUGAACAUGAGAGUGGUUAAGACUGGUUAUUUGAUGUGGGCCAUUAGCCGGUUCAAACUCCCAAAUGGCAUUUUGCACUGACCGUUCUAGAGCGUUGCCUCACUAUGUUCCUUUAUUAGUUUGUUUUGUUUUCAUUGCCUAAAUUGUUUUACACUUACUUUGUGUUUUUGUAUAAAUGUCAAUCAUUAACAUAUUCA